rnacentral:rRNA from 1 species
CCAAUAGCGUAUAUUAAAGUUGUUGCAGUUAAAAAGCUCGUAGUUGAAUUUCGGGGUUCUACCGUUGGUCAGACAAUAGUCUGUACUGGCGUGUAGAAUUUCUACCUUCUGGGGAACCAUCAUGUUAUUUAUUUAGCGUGAUGGGAAACCAGGACCUUUACCUUGAAAAAAUUAGAGUGUUCAAAGCAGGCUUACGUCUGAAUACAUUAGCAUGGAAUAAUAAAAUAGGACGGUGGUCCUGUUUUGUUGGUUUCUGAAUCACCGUAAUGAUUAAUAGGGAUAGUUGGGGGCAUUAGUAUUCAAUUGUCAGAGGUGAAAUUCUUGGAUUUAUUGAAGACUAACUUCUGCGAAAGCAUUUGCCAAGGAUGUUUUCAUUAAUCAAGAACGAAAGUUAGGGGAUCGAAGACGAUCAGAUACCGUCGUAGUCUUAACCAUAAACUAUGCCGACUAGGGAUCGGACGAUGUUAAUUUUUCUUGACUCGUUCGGCGCCUUACG